AGCUUAAGCACCCAAGCAUGCAUUUAAAUGCAACCUGAUUUGAUUACAAAGCCGUAGCAGGAGUGGAGUGGCGAGUGCAAGUGCAAGUGCGCUGAGCGCUGACAGCUACAACAAUCGUGCUUUGUUAUCCAUAUGUCAGAAGCAUUCGUCAAUCAAUUAACGUCGCUUGCCAAUCAGAGAGGUAAUUGCAAAGAUUUAAUUGGAUGA